rnacentral:lncRNA from 1 species
ACAUUCGGAUGAGGGAAGCAGAUAGCCCACCAGCGAGCACAGGGACAUGCCAGAUUUCGCUCUUGUCGCCCAGGCUGGAGUGCAACGGUACGAUCUCAUGUCACGGCAACCUCCGCCUCCCAGGUUCAAGCAAUUCUCCCGCCUCAGCCUCCCGAGUAGCUGGGACUAAAGGUGCCUGCCACCAAGCUCAGCUAAUUUUUGUAUCUUUAGUAGAGACGGGGUUUCACUAUGCUGGCCAGGCUCGUCUCGAACUCCUGACCUCAAGUGAUCCGCGCGCCUCGGCCUCCCAAAGUGCUGGGAUUACAGGCGUGAGCCACCACGUCUGGCCUUCUUGUCCGUUUAUUUAUUCAUUCAACAAAUAUUCAUGAAAUGUAUGUUGUAAGCUGAAUACUUUGCCAGGCUCUGAGGACCAGUCAGGCACUUCGAUGCCCUCAAGCAGCCCAGGACCUAGAGGUUUCAAUGCCUCUGCUUUCCUAUUUAUAAAUGGGCAGACUGGACCUGAAGUCCUGAAGGCUCACCCGCCUGGAAGCCACCUCUCCUCUGGAGUUCUGAUGACGCUGCAGAAGCCUGGGAAAAUAACAAGAAAGCUCUAUUUACAGAAAAACACCAGCUAAAAAAUGUAGAAGGAAUCUAAAAGGUAUCGAAAGUGACCAUCUUGCAAGUGGAAUAUUGGUUUUGGCCAAAGAUGCUAAAAUGAUCAACAGAAGGGUCGUCCUUUCUGUUGGGAACCAGGAUGCUCACAAGGCACUGCCCACAAGGGACACUAAUUGCAAAAGGGACAGUGUGCCUCCACAGGGGGACAGCUGGUGUCACCAUCUUAACAAGGGAUCUGACAGCAUCACUGUGGGGGGAGAAAGCCAACAUCGUGCACCUCCAGGAGCUCUCAGAGGAUGGAGGAACACGUGAACCAACACCAGGAGGACGCAGCCCGAGAGAUCAGCCGUGGGACAUUUCACAAGACCACGGCCAAGUCUCUUCACAAAGUCAACGUCAAACACACCAAACAAAGGAAAAAAAGAUAAAAGAGAAGAAAAAGAGCAAAAGGGAAGGGACUGCUCUAGCCAAAAAAGGACUACACAGAUACAAUGACCGGAUGUAAUAUGUGACCCCCAGAGGGAUUCCGAUUCAAAAGAUGCAGCCAUGGAAAAUGUCUUAUAAGCACCGGGGCCAUUUAAAUGUGGACUAGAUGUCAGAUGGUCUUAUUGAACUAUGAUUGACUUUCUUAGAUGUGAUCAUGACAGUCUAUGUGAGAGAAUGUCCAUUUUCUUAGGAGGUGCCUGUGGACACACUUAGGACUGCAGUGUCGGGAUGUCUGCAAAUUGCCUUCAGGGUCUCAGCCAGAAAGCAGGCAGGAAGAGACAGAGAUGGAUGGAGCCAUGCAGACACCAAGGUGAAGAGCUACUGAAUCUUGGUGGAGGGUCCCUGAGUCUUCAUUAUAAUUUUAACUUUCUUGAAGUUUUGAAGUUUUCAUAAUAAAAAGUUAGGAGGGAAACAUUUUAAAGUAGAGAAACUAGAUCUUCCCACAGAACACUGGGGACCCUUAUUAUUAUUUUUUUAAACCCUGCUCUUUGCUUUUUCAAAGUGAGUUUUGCUAAAAUAAUGGUAUCUAGCAUUUCUGAGAAAUUAGCACAAAUGUACAGCUACAUUAGCAACAGGAAAUUCAGCACAUCUGAGUCAUCUAUGUAAAUGGCAAUAAUGAAAAUGAGGGCUUUCGCUGCAUGUCUAAGAAAUGUCCUCUUUUGGAGACUCUUCCUUUUGUUUUACACCCAGAACUGUCUCAGAGGAGGUUCAACAGCAGGGCCUCAAGGGACCAGGAGUAGGUGGCAGACAUGAGGGAGCUCAAAGAGACCACAGCACCUGCAGGGAUGUGGGUCUUUAGGGCCAAAAUACCACGGACACGCUAGUGCAGAGUGGAACCAUCUCCCUGGGAAAUAUUGAUCAACAGGCCAGUGUUCCCUUUCUUCAAACAAUUUAACUUAAGGAGCUCAUGCCCUUCAAGGUGACAAAGAUGGUAAAAUGUGAAUUAAAUGAGCAGAUGUUACGUGUUUAGAACAGUGCCCUAAGUUUUCCCUGUUGUUACUCCCAAUGAGCACUGUACGAGUUCAUUUAAAAAGCUAAGAACUGUCCGGCAGGCUAUACUAAAUGGAAAAGGUAGCAUGCUAAACAGCAACCUUGAUCUGUAUAAGCCAGCAGUUGUGUU